UACGUAGGCAGCAAGCGUUGUUCGGAGUUACUGGGCGUAAAGGGCGCGUAGGCGGCCUGAUAAGUAGGGGGUGAAAUCCUGCGGCUUAACCGCAGGGCUGCCUUCUAAACUGUCAGGCUCGAGCACAGUAGAGGCAGGUGGAAUUCCCGGUGUAGCGGUGGAAUGCGUAGAGAUCGGGAAGAACAUCAGUGGCGAAGGCGGCCUGCUGGGCUGUUGCUGACGCUGAGGCGCGACAGCGUGGGGAGCAACAGG
rnacentral:rRNA from 1 species